rnacentral:rRNA from 1 species
CCCCGGGCCUUGUACACACUGCCCGUCAAGCCACGAAAGUCGGUCGUACCUUAAGAAAGUGAGCUAACCGCAAGGAGGCAGCUUUCCAAGGUAAUAUUGGUGAUUGGGGUU